AGAAUGAACGCUGGCGGCAUGCCUAACACAUGCAAGUCGAACGAAGCCUUCGGGCUUAGUGGCGCACGGGUGCGUAACGCGUGGGAAUCUGCCCUUGGGUUCGGAAUAACAGUUAGAAAUGACUGCUAAUACCGAAUGAUGUCGUAAGACCAAAGAUUUAUCGCCCAGGGAUGAGCCCGCGUAGGAUUAGCUAGUUGGUGUGGUAAAGGCGCACCAAGGCGACGAUCCUUAGCUGGUCUGAGAGGAUGAUCAGCCACACUGGGACUGAGACACGGCCCAGACUCCUACGGGAGGCAGCAGUGGGGAAUAUUGGACAAUGGGCGAAAGCCUGAUCCAGCAAUGCCGCGUGAGUGAUGAAGGCCUUAGGGUUGUAAAGCUCUUUUACCCGGGAUGAUAAUGACAGUACCGGGAGAAUAAGCUCCGGCUAACUCCGUGCCAGCAGCCGC
rnacentral:rRNA from 1 species